rnacentral:misc_RNA from 1 species
GAUGAAGAACGUAGUAAAAUGCGAUACGUAAUGUGAAUUGCAGAAUUCAGUGAAUCAUCGAAUCUUUGAACGCACAUUGCGCCCCCUGGUAUUCCGGGGGGCAUGCCUGUUCGAGCGUCAUUUCACCACUCAAGCCUCGCUUGGUAUUGGGCAACGCGGUCCGCCGCGUGCCUCAAAUCGUCCGGCUGGGUCUUCUGUCCCCUAAGCGUUGUGGAAACUAUUCGCUAAAGGGUGUUCGGGAGGCUACGCCGUAAAACAACCCCAUUUCUAAGGUUGACCUCGGAUCAGGUAGGGAUACCCGCUGAACUUAAGCAUAUCAAUAAGCGGAGGA